GAUGAACGCUAGCUACAGGCUUAACACAUGCAAGUCGAGGGGCAGCACAGUGUAGCAAUACACGGGUGGCGACCGGCGCACGGGUGCGUAACGCGUAUCCAAUCUUCCCGUUACUCUUGGAUAGCCUUCCGAAAGGGAGAUUAAUACAAGAUGGUAUUCAAAUUCCGCAUGUUAUUUGAAUUAAAGAUUUAUCGGUAACGGAUGGGGAUGCGUGACAUUAGGUAGAUGGCGGGGUAACGGCCCACCAUGCCUACGAUGUCUAGGGGUUCUGAGAGGAAGGUCCCCCACACUGGAACUGAGACACGGUCCAGACUCCUACGGGAGGCAGCAAUGAGGAAUAUUGGUCAAUGGCCGGGAGGCUGAACCAGCCAAGUAGCGUGAAGGAUGAAGGUUCUAUGGAUUGUAAACUUCUUUUAUAUAGGAAUAAAGCCCACUACGUGUAGUGGUUUGUAUGUACUAUAUGAAUAAGCAUCGGCUAACUCCGUGCCAGCAGCCGCAGUAACAC
rnacentral:rRNA from 1 species